rnacentral:rRNA from 1 species
CUGAAUGGGGAAACCCACCACUUUAUGUGGUACUUUAAACUGAAUACAUAGGUUUAAAGAGACAACCUGGAGAACUGAAACAUCUUAAGUAACCAGAGGAAAAGAAAUCAAUUGAGAUUCCGUUAGUAGUGGCGAGCGAACGCGGACUAGGCCAGUAAUUUUGUUAAAAAAAUUUGAAUAGUUUGGAAAUGCUAACCAUAGAGGGUGAUAGUCCCGUAUGAGUAAUAUUUAAUAAAAUUCUUGAGUAAAGCGGGACACGAGAAAUCCUGCUCGAAUAUAGGGGGACCACCCUCUAAGCCUAAAUACUCUUCAGUGACCGAUAGA